rnacentral:rRNA from 1 species
GACGAACGCUGGCGGCGUGCCUAAUACAUGCAAGUAGAACGCUGAAGGAGGAGCUUGCUUCUCUGGAUGAGUUGCGAACGGGUGAGUAACGCGUAGGUAACCUGCCUGGUAGCGGGGGAUAACUAUUGGAAACGAUAGCUAAUACCGCAUAACAGUAGAUAUCGCAUGAUAUCUACUUGAAAGGUGCAAUUGCAUCACUACCAGAUGGACCUGCGUUGUAUUAGCUAGUUGGUGAGGUAACGGCUCACCAAGGCGACGAUACAUAGCCGACCUGAGAGGGUGAUCGGCCACCCUGGGACUGAGACACGGCCCAGACUCCUACGGGAGGCAGCAGUAGGGAAUCUUCGGCAAUGGACGGAAGUCUGACCGAGCAACGCCGCGUGAGUGAAGAAGGUUUUCGGAUCGUAAAGCUCUGUUGUAAGAGAAGAACGAGUGUGAGAGUGGAAAGUUCACACUGUGACGGUAUCUUACCAGAAAGGGACGGCUAACUACGUG